rnacentral:rRNA from 1 species
GACGAACGCUGGCGGCGUGCUUAACACAUGCAAGUCGAACGGAAAGGCCCGGCUUUUGUGGGGUGCACGAGUGGCGAACGGGUGAGUAACACGCGAGUAACAUGCCCUUGUAUUUGGGAGAACAUCAGGAAAAUGGGGCUAAUACCGGAUAGGAGCUCCUGCAGCACGGGGGGGGUUGGAAAGAUUCGGCCGUUGGGGAUGGAUUCGCGGCUUAUCGGCUUGUUGGUGGGGUAGUGGCUGACCAAGGCUUUGACGGGUAGCCGGCCUGGGAGGGUGACCGGCCACAUUGGGCCUGAGAGACGGCCCAGACGCCUACGGGAGGCAGCAGUGGAGAGUAUUACGCAAUGGGCGGAAGCCUGUGGCGGCAGCGCCGCGUGCGGGAUGCCGGCCUUCGGGUUGAAAACCGCUUUCGCCUGUGCCGAAGCGUGAGUGACGGUAAUGGGUAAAGAAGCACCGGCUAACUACGUG